CCCUUAGAUGUCCUGGGCCGCACGCGCGCUACACUGAUGCAUUCAACGAGUUCUACCUUGGCCGAGAGGCCUGGGCAAUCUUUUGAACCUGCAUCGUGAUAGGGAUAGAUUAUUGCAAUUAUUAAUCUUGAACGAGGAAUUCCUAGUAAACGCAGAUCAUCAAUCUGCAUUGAUUACGUCCCUGCCCUUUGUACACACCGCCCGUCGCACCUACCGAUUGAAUGGUCCGGUGAAGCCUCGGGAUUGUGGCGAGUUCCCUUUAUUGGGAGUUUGUCGCGAGAACUUGUCUAAACCUUAUCAUUUAGAGGAAGGUGAAGUCGUANCA
rnacentral:rRNA from 1 species